GAUGAACGCUGGCGGCGUGCUUAACACAUGCAAGUCGAACGAUGAACCUGGUGCUUGCACUGGGGGAUUAGUGGCGAACGGGUGAGUAACACGUGAGCAACCUGCCCCUGACUCUGGGAUAAGCGCUGGAAACGGCGUCUAAUACUGGAUAUGUGACGUGACCGCAUGGUCUGCGUUUGGAAAGAUUUUUCGGUUGGGGAUGGGCUCGCGGCCUAUCAGCUUGUUGGUGAGGUAAUGGCUCACCAAGGCGUCGACGGGUAGCCGGCCUGAGAGGGUGACCGGCCACACUGGGACUGAGACACGGCCCAGACUCCUACGGGAGGCAGCAGUGGGGAAUAUUGCACAAUGGGCGGAAGCCUGAUGCAGCAACGCCGCGUGAGGGAUGACGGCCUUCGGGUUGUAAACCUCUUUUAGCAGGGAAGAAGCGAGAGUGACGGUACCUGCAGAAAAAGCGCCGGCUAACUACGUG
rnacentral:rRNA from 1 species